GGCGCAAGCCAGAUUGCGCUUUGCUAUAUGUUGAUCUGAUCUCGGAAGCUAAGCAGGGUCGGGCCUGGUUAGGAUCUUGGAUGGGAGACCACCUGGGAAUCCCGGGUGCUCGAGGCU
rnacentral:rRNA from 1 species